CAAUAGCGUAUAUUAAAGUUGUUGCAGUUAAAAAGCUCGUAGUUGGAUUUCGGGGCCCCGGGCGUUCGUUGCGUUUCCUGUUGGAUUCGUCUGGCGGGUGCGUGGCGGUCGUCGGUCUCUGAGUCGGAUCGGUCCGCCGAGAGGCGUGCACUGACCGACGGCCCCUGUUGUCUCUCGGGUUGCCCGCCUGCACUUAAUUGCUGCGGACGGGGAGUUCGGGACGUUUACUUUGAACAAAUUAGAGUGUUCCAAGCAGGCCGUUGCUUUGAAUACAUUAGCAUGGAAUAAUGGAAUAGGGCUGCGUGACUCGUUGCCUUCGGGUGGCGGGUCCUCGUGUCCUAUUUUGUUGGUUUUCGGGACCGCAGUCAUGGUCAAGAGGGACAGUUGGGGGCAUUCGUAUUCAGUUGUCAGAGGUGAAAUUCUUGGAUUUACGGAAGACGAACAACUGCGAAAGCAUUUGCCAAGGAUGUUUUCAUUAA
rnacentral:rRNA from 1 species